rnacentral:rRNA from 1 species
GAUGAACGCUGGCGGCGUGCCUAACACAUGCAAGUCGAGCGGCAGCGAGGGGUGCUUGCACCCUGUCGGCGAGCGGCGGACGGCUGAGUAACGCGUGGGAACGUGCCCCAAAGUGAGGAAUAACUGCCCGAAAGGGUAGCUAAUACCGCAUAUUAUCUUCGGAUCAAAGGAUUUAUCCGCUUUGGGAGCGGCUCGCGUCGGAUUAGGUAGUUGGUGAGGUAAUGGCUCACCAAGCCGACGAUCCGUAGCUGGUCCGAGAGGAUGACCAGCCAGACUGGAACUGAGACACGGUCCAGACUCCUACGGGAGGCAGCAGUGAGGAAUCUUCCACAAUGGGCGAAAGCCUGAUGGAGCAACGCCGCGUGCAGGACGAAGGCCUUCGGGUUGUAAACUGCUUUUAUAAGUGAGGAAUAUGACGGUAACUUAUGAAUAAGGAUCGGCUAACUACGUG